CCUCAUCGACGGCGCAGCGAUUCCACCUUCUCAACCCUUAUCGCUUUGCGAUUUUGCUUCAUCCUCUUCUCCGAUCUUGCUUCAUCUUUGUUCCACUCUCGACGCCGUUCAUUAUGUUCCAUUUCAAAUCAAUCGCAGCCAUCACCAACAUCGACCUUCCGUUCCUGAUUCAUCUCCGUCCUCAACCUCAUUCAUCACCUCUGAAUUGA